GACAGAGGGUGCAAACGUUGUUCGGAAUUACUGGGCGUAAAGCGCACGUAGGCGGCUUUGCAAGUCGGGUGUGAAAGCCUGGGGCUCAACCCCAGAAGUGCAUUCGAAACUGCAGAGCUUGAGUCUUGGAGAGGGUGGUGGAAUUCCGAGUGUAGAGGUGAAAUUCGUAGAUAUUCGGAGGAACACCAGUGGCGAAGGCGACCACCUGGACAAAGACUGACGCUGAGGUGCGAAAGCGUGGGGAGCAAACAGG
rnacentral:rRNA from 1 species